rnacentral:rRNA from 1 species
UACAGAGGGUGCAAGCGUUAAUCGGAAUUACUGGGCGUAAAGGGCGCGUAGGUGGUUGACUAAGUCAGAUGUGAAAUCCCUGGGCUUAACCUAGGAAUUGCGUUUGAUACUGGUCGACUAGAGUGUGGGAGAGGGAAGUGGAAUUUCCAGUGUAGCGGUGAAAUGCGUAGAUAUUGGAAGGAACACCAGUGGCGAAGGCGACUUCCUGGACCACUACUGACACUGAGGCGCGAAAGCGUGGGGAGCGAACAGG